GACGAACGCUGGCGGCGCGCCUAACACAUGCAAGUCGAACGAGCGAGCGAGAGCUUGCUUUCUUGAGCGAGUGGCGAACGGGUGAGUAACGCGUGAGGAACCUGCCUCAAAGAGGGGGACAACAGUUGGAAACGACUGCUAAUGCCGCAUAAGCCCACGACCCGGCAUCGGGGUGAGGGAAAAGGGGCAGUCCGGUUUGGGAUGGCCUCGCGUCCGAUUAGCUAGUUGGUGAGGUCACGGCCCACCAAGGCGACGAUCGGUAGCCGGACUGAGAGGUUGACCGGCCGCAUUUGGACUGCGACACGGCCCAGAAUGCUACGGGAGGCUGCAGUGGGGAAUAUUACGCGAGGGGGGAAAACCUGAUGCAGCGACGCCGCGUGGAGGAAGAAGGUCUUCGGAUUGUAAAUUCCUGUUGUUGAGGAAGAUAAUGACGGUACUCAACAAAGAAGUGACGGCUAACUACGUG
rnacentral:rRNA from 1 species